rnacentral:rRNA from 1 species
AAUAGAUACCCUGGUAGUCCACGCCGUAAACGUUGGGCACUAGGUGUGGGUUCCAACCAACGGAAUCCGUGCCGCAGCUAACGCAUUAAGUGCCCCGCCCGGGGAGUACGGCCGCAAGGCUAAAACUCAAAGGAAUUGACGGGGGGCCCGCACGAAGCGGCGGAGCAUGUUGCUUAAUUCGAGGCAACGCGAAGAACCUUACCUGGGUUUGACAUUCUGGGAAAAGCCGUAGAGAUACGGUGUCCGAAAGGGUCCAGAACAGGUGGUGCAUGGCUGUCGUCAGCUCGUGUCGUGAGAUGUUGGGUUAAGUCCCGCAACGAGCGCAACCCUUGUCCUAUGUUGCCAGCACGUAAUGGUGGGGACUCGGUAGGAGACUGCCGGGGUCAACUCGGAGGAAGGUUGGGGACGACGUCAAGUCAUCAUGCCCCUUAUGUCCAGGGCUGCAAACAUGCUACAAUGGCCGGUACAAAGGGCUGCUAUACCGCGAGGUUGAGCGAAUCCCAAAAAAGCCGGUCUACAGUUCGGAUUGGAGUCUGCAACUCGACUCCAUG